rnacentral:rRNA from 1 species
CACGAAGGGAGCGAACGUUGUUCGGAAUCACUGGGCAUAAAGAGCUCGUAGGAGGCUUGGAAAGUCAGGUGUGAAAUCCCUCGGCUCAACCGAGGAACUGCAUCUGAAACUUCUUUGCUUGAGUGUAAGAGGGGAGAGUGGAACUCUUGGUGGAGCGGUGAAAUGCGUUGAUAUCAAGGGGAACGCCGGUGGCGAAAGCGACUCUCUGGCUUACUACUGACUCUGAGGAGCGAAAGCUAGGGGAGCGAACGGGAUUAGAUACCCCUGUA